rnacentral:rRNA from 1 species
UAAUAAUUAUUUAUUAAUUUUGUUUGUUAUUUAAAAUUUAAUAGAAAUAAUUUUAUUUAUUUAAGUUUUAGUAUUAUAUAAAGAAAAAAUAUUUAUUAUUAUAGUUUAUAGUAUUGUGAAAGAAAAUUGAAAUAAUUUGAAAAAUUUUUAUUUAAAAAGAAAUCUUUAUUUGUUGUACCUUGUGUAUCAGGGUUUAUUAAAUAAUAAAUUAUUAUAUUUAUUUUUCUCGAAUUUUAAAGAGUUAAUUUUAUAUAAAAGUUAUUGUAGAAUAACUAUUUUAAAUAUAAAUUUAGAAAUUAAAUGUUAAUCGUUUUAAAAUAUAUCUAGUUUUUUAAGAAAUAAAUUUAAUUUAUUUUAUUAAUUUUAUUUAAUUAUAUUUUAUAAUUAAAUAAAUUAAUGAUUAAAUAUUUUAAGGGAUUAGCUUUAAAAUAAAUUUUUAUAUUAAAAAUAAAUAAAUAAAUAAAUAUAAGCUUAAAAAUAGUUAUUAUUUAUAAAUUUGUUAUAAUUUAUUUUUAUAAUAAAAAUAUUUAUUUUAAAUUAAAUUAUUUAUUAAAAUAUAAAUUUAAAUUAAAAUAAUUUAGUAAUUAUGAUAAAAUUAGUAUAUGUAUUUUUAUAAAAUAAUUUAAUUGUUAGGUUUUAAUGAAGAAUUCGGCAAAUUAAAUAUAUUCACCUGUUUAACAAAAACAUGUCUUUUUGUAUUUUAUAUAAAGUCUGGCCUGCCCACUGAUUUUUAAAGGGCCGCGGUAUUUUGACCGUGCGAAGGUAGCAUAAUCAGUAGUCUUUUAAUUGAAGGCUUGUAUGAAUGGUUGAAUGAGAUAUAUACUGUUUUUUUAAAAUUUAAGUAGAAUUUUAUUUUUAAAUUAAAAAGUUUAAAUUUAUUUAAAGGACGAGAAGACCCUAUAGAUUUUUAUUUUUAAAAAUUAUAAAUUAAUAAGAAUUUUUUUAUUUAUAUUUUUGUUAAAAUUUUUCUGGGGUGGAAAUAAAAUUUAAUAAACUUUUAUUAUUAUUUAACAAUAAUUAAUUGAAUAAUUGAUCCUAUAUUAUAGAUUAAAAAUUUAAGUUACCUUAGGGAUAACAGCGUAAUUUUUUUAGAGAGUUCUUAUCGAUAAAAAAGAUUGCGACCUCGAUGUUGGAUUAAGAGUUAUUUUUAGGUGUAGAAGUUUAAAGUUUAGGUCUGUUCGACCUUUAAAUUCUUACAUGAUCUGAGUUCAAACCGGCGUAAGCCAGGUUGGUUUCUAUCCUUAAUAAUUUAUUAUAUUGUAGUACGAAAGGACCUAAUAUAAAAAUUAUAAAUUUAUUUUUGUGAAUUUUAUUAAAUUUAAUAU